rnacentral:snRNA from 1 species
GUGCUUGCUUUGGCAGCACACAUAUUAAAAUUGGAACGAUACAGGGAAGAUUAGUGUGGCCCCUGUGCAAGGAUGACACGCAAAUUCAUGAAGCGUUCCAUAUUAAA